rnacentral:tRNA from 1 species
UAUAGGGUGCCUGAAAAAAAGGGUAAUUUUGAUAGAAUUAAUCAUGUGUCUACUACACCCCUAUAAAU